rnacentral:rRNA from 1 species
GGGUUAGUAGGUUGGUCAUGCCUCUGGUAUGCGCUGGCCUCACUGAUUCCUCCUUCCUGAUGAGCCGUAAUGCCAUUAAUUUGGUGUUGCGGGGAAUUUGGACUGUUACUUCGAAAAAGUUAGAGUGUUUAAAGCAAGCUAACGCUUGAAUACAUUAGCAUGGAAUAAUGAAAUAGGACGUUCGAUCCUAUUUUGUUGGUUUCUAGGAUUGACGUAAUGAUUAAU